rnacentral:rRNA from 1 species
GAUGAACGCUGGCGGCGUGCCUAAUACAUGCAAGUCGAGCGAACAGAUGAGGAGCUUGCUCCUCUGACGUUAGCGGCGGACGGGUGAGUAACACGUGGAUAACCUACCUAUAAGACUGGGAUAACUUCGGGAAACCGGAGCUAAUACCGGAUAAUAUAUUGAACCGCAUGGUUCAAUAGUGAAAGACGGUUUUGCUGUCACUUAUAGAUGGAUCCGCGCCGCACUAGCUAGUUGGUAAGGUAACGGCUUACCAAGGCAACGAUGCGUAGCCGACCUGAGAGGGUGAUCGGCCACACUGGAACUGAGACACGGUCCAGACUCCUACGGGAGGCAGCAGUAGGGAAUCUUCCGCAAUGGGCGAAAGCCUGACGGAGCAACGCCGCGUGAGUGAUGAAGGUCUUCGGAUCGUAAAACUCUGUUAUUAGGGAAGAACAAAUGUGUAAGUAACUAUGCACGUCUUGACGGUACCUAAUCAGAAAGCCACGGCUAACUACGU